UCCGGUAUGGUCUAGUGGUUAGGAUUUCUGGCUUUCACCCAGGAGGCUCGGGGUUCGUUUCCCCGGGUACCGGAA